GUCGUACGCUUCUUUUUCCACCGGAGCUUGCUCCACCGGAAAAAGAAGAGUGGCGAACGGGUGAGUAACACGUGGGUAACCUGCCCAUCAGAAGGGGAUAACACUUGGAAACAGGUGCUAAUACCGUAUAACAAUCAAAACCGCAUGGUUUUGAUUUGAAAGGCGCUUUCGGGUGUCGCUGAUGGAUGGACCCGCGGUGCAUUAGCUAGUUGGUGAGGUAACGGCUCACCAAGGCCACGAUGCAUAGCCGACCUGAGAGGGUGAUCGGCCACAUUGGGACUGAGACACGGCCCAAACUCCUACGGGAGGCAGCAGUAGGGAAUCUUCGGCAAUGGACGAAAGUCUGACCGAGCAACGCCGCGUGAGUGAAGAAGGUUUUCGGAUCGUAAAACUCUGUUGUUAGAGAAGAACAAGGAUGAGAGUAACUGUUCAUCCCUUGACGGUAUCUAACCAGAAAGCCACGGCUAACUACGUGCCAGCAGCCGCGGUAAUACGUAGGUGGCAAGCGUUGUCCGGAUUUAUUGGGCGUAAAGCGAGCGCAGGCGGUUUCUUAAGUCUGAUGUGAAAGCCCCCGGCUCAACCGGGGAGGGUCAUUGGAAACUGGGAGACUUGAGUGCAGAAGAGGAGAGUGGAAUUCCAUGUGUAGCGGUGAAAUGCGUAGAUAUAUGGAGGAACACCAGUGGCGAAGGCGGCUCUCUGGUCUGUAACUGACGCUGAGGCUCGAAAGCGUGGGGAGCAAACAGGAUUAGAUACCCUGGUAG
rnacentral:rRNA from 1 species